rnacentral:tRNA from 1 species
GCCUGGCUGGCUCAGUUCAUAGAGCAUGGGACUCUUGAUCUCGGGGUCGUGAGUUCAAGUCCCAUGCUGGACA